ensembl:lncRNA
UGGAGAUAGCUGCUCUGUCUGGCACUCUGUUGGCAUCAUAAUGGAGAUAGCUGCUCUGUCUGGCACUCUGUUGGCAUCCUAAUGGAGAUAGCUGCUCUGUCUGGCACUCUGUUGGCAUCAUAAUGGAGAUAGCUGCUCUGUCUGGCACUCUGUUGGCAUCAUAAUGGAGAUAGCUGCUCUGUCUGGCCCUCAGUUGCUCUGUCUGGCGCUCUGUUAGGAUCAUAAUGGAAAUAGCUGCUCUGUCUGGCCCUCAGUUGCUCUGUCUGGCACUCUGUUAGCAUCUUCAUGGAGAAAGCUGCUCUGUCUGGCCCUCAGUUUCUCUGUCUGGCACUCUGUUGGCAGCAUAAUGGAGAUAGCUGCUCUGUCUGGCACUCUGUUGGCAUCAUAAUGGAGAUAGCUCCUCUGUCUGGCACUCUGUUGGCAUCAUAAUGGAGAUAGCUGCUCUGUCUGGCACUCAGUUAGCAUCUUAAUGGAGAUAGCUGCUCUGUCUGGCACUCUGUUGGCAUCAUAAUGGAGAUAGCUGCUCUGUCUGGCAGUCUGUUGGCAUCAUAAUGGAGAUAGCUGCUCUGUCUGGCACUCAGUUAGCAUCUUAAUGGAGAUAGCUGCUCUGUCUGGCCGUCAGUUAGCAUCAUAAUGGAGAUAGCAUCCAUCCAUCACAACAUCAGCCUAACCCACUACAGCCCCAAAGCGGUGAGCGCUAAGUAGUGCGCUAUAUAGGGAAUAGGGUGCCAUUUCAAAUGUAGCCCAUGGGUGCAUCUAUUCCCUAUAUAGUGCACUACUUUUUGACCAGAGCAAUAUGGGUCCUGGUCUAAUGUAGUGCGCUAUAUAGGGAAUAGGGUGUGAUUACAGAUGCAGUCCAUGUUCCAGAGACAUCUGGGCACAUCUGUACUCAACCUGAAAGCUGAUGGCCAGCUAUGCACUGGCCUUGACAGGAUAUGAAAUUAAGCUUCCCUAGGAGCACAACACUACCAGGAGCACAACGCUACCAGGAGCACAACGCUACCAGGAGCACACGCUACCAGGAGCACAACGCUACCAGGAGCACAACGCUACGUUGAGCACAACGCUACAAGGAGCACAACGCUACCAGGAGCACAACGCUAUUAGGAGCACAACGCUACCAGGAGCACAACGCUACCAGGAGCACAACGCUACCAGGAGCACAACGCUACCAGGAGCACAACGCUACCAGGAACACAACACUACCAGGAGCACAACGCUACCAGGAGCACAACGC